rnacentral:rRNA from 1 species
UACGGAGGAUCCAAGCGUUAUCCGGAAUUACUGGGCGUAAAGAGUUGCGUAGGUGGCAUUGUAAGUCGAUAGUGAAAGAGUCCCGCUCAACGGGAUAGACAUUACCGAAACUGCAAAGCUAGAGGACGAGAGAGGUCACUGGAAUUCCCUGUGUAGGAGUGAAAUCCGUAGAUAUAGGGAGGAACACCGAUGGCGUAGGCAGGUGACUGGCUCGUUCCUGACACUAAGGCACGAAAGCGUGGGGAGCAAACGGG